rnacentral:rRNA from 1 species
CCCUACGGGAGGCAUUAGUAGGGAAUCUUCCACAAUGGACGAAAGUCUGAUGGAGCAACGCCGCGUGAGUGAAGAAGGGUUUCGGCUCGUAAAGCUCUGUUGGUAGUGAAGAAAGAUAGAGGUAGUAACUGGCCUUUAUUUGACGGUAAUUACUUAGAAAGUCACGGCUAACUACGUGCCAGCAGCCGCGGUAAUACGAAGGUGGCCAGCGUUGUCCGGAUUUAUUAGGCGUAAAGCGAGUGCAGGCGGCUCAAUAAUACUGAU